rnacentral:rRNA from 2 species
UAUAAUGGGUCAGCGACUUAUAUUCUGUAGCAAGGUUAACCGCAUAGGGGAGCCGAAGGGAAACCGAGUCUUAACCGGGCGUUAAGUUGCAGGGUAUAGACCCGAAACCCGGUGAUCUAGCCAUGGGCAGGUUGAAGGUUGGGUAACACUAACUGGAGGACCGAACCGACUAAUGUUGAAAAAUUAGCGGAUGACCUGUGGCUGGGGGUGAAAGGCCAAUCAAACCGGGAGAUAGCUGGUUCUCCCCGAAAGCU